rnacentral:tRNA from 1 species
AAGAAAGUGGCAGAAUGGUUAUGUGGUCGGCUUGAAACCGGCCUAAGGGGGUUCGACUCCUCCCUUUCUCG